UUGUUUUUCAGCUGUGAGUGUUUCAUUUGAAAAUGACUGUUUGAUGAUAAAGUUUCAAACAACUAUGAAGUGGAUGGAUGUUCUAGAAGAAAAGGACCCUCUGCAAAUGUAUGAGAAACAGAUUUUACCUUUAAGGUGGUCCAUAUAAUGUUGAAAAGGAUGAAAUCCUGUAUCUGACAAAAUGUAACAACAGUAACAAUCAUUUUAGUUUGAUUUGUGUUUAUUCCAAACUAAUUUUUCAAAGAAUGAAUGAUCAUCAUCAUCCUUAUACUGGAAUAAAAGGAAGGAAGUGACAGCUACAGUCAUGGUAAAAGUAAAUGCAGUCAGAAAACCUCUGAUAUCACCUGAAGAGCCAGCCUUCUCAAGAUUCUGUAUCAAAUAAAAAUAACAAGGACUGCUAAAAAUACUUUUUAUAACUUGCAAAUGAGCAGUCUGUGACAUAACUGUCUGAUCCAGGUAGUUUAAUGUUGACAAGAUGACAUUUCAUCUCUAUAGUAGAGGACACAAGUUUGAAAUGCAGUAUGUCAUUGUGAAGGAAAAAUGUUUAUGAAAAUAGUGUGUGUGUGUUUUCCAAAUAGAGAGACUGAAAGUGGGGAAUCAUCAAUUAGUGUUUUUGAAAUAAGUUAUAGACAUCUAAAUAGUGAAGAUCUGUCCCUAAUUUGGAUUGCCACAGACCAAAAUAAUGAUUGGUGCCUUUGACAUAAAUAGAAGAACUCACACUGGACACCCUGAAGAUGGAAUUAUGUUGUUCGCAUUAAUGUUUCUUUUUCAGAUUUAUGGGGGGAAAAAUAGAAUGUCAUUUCUUAAAAAUGUUGAUAGUUGUUUAACCAAAGGCCCUGUAAUUGAAAACUAUCUUUAUUCUUGACUUUAUAUUAAAAUUAAAAAAAAAUCUGAUACUGUUUCAUUACUUUUGCAUGUAUAACAUUAAAUUUAUUAUUUAAAUUUGAUAAAAUUUAAUGUAUUUUGAAAAAACAUGCACUUGAACAUAUCUAAAUGGAAUAAACACAUGACAGUCUUUGAAUAUCUGUAAUAAAGCACAUGUUUUGCAGUUCUCAUUAGAUUUGGUUACCAAUUUACAGCAUAAUUAUACAUGAAGGCUUAGUACUCAAACAUAUGCAGA